rnacentral:rRNA from 1 species
CCUACGGGUGGCAGCAGUGAGGAAUAUUGGUCAAUGGACGAGAGUCUGAACCAGCCAAGUAGCGUGAAGGAUGACUGCCCUAUGGGUUGUAAACUUCUUUUAUAUGGGAAUAAAAUGUUCCACGUGUGGGAUUUUGUAUGUACCAUAUGAAUAAAGAUCGGCUAACUCCGUGCCAGCAGCCGCGGUAAUACGGAGUAUCCGAGCGUUAUCCGGAUUUAUUGGGUUUAAAGGGAGCGUAGGUGGAUUGUUAAGUCAGUUGUGAAAGUUUGCGGCUCAACCGUAAAAUUGCAGUUGAAACUGGCAGUCUUGAGUACAGUAGAGGUGGGCGGAAUUCGUGGUGUAGCGGUGAAAUGCUUAGAUAUCACGAAGAACUCCGAUUGCGAAGGCAGUUCACUGGACUGCAACUGACACUGAGGCUCGAAAGUGUGGGUAUCAAACAGGAUUAGAUACCCUUGUAGUC